CUUUCCCCGUGGUCCUCGGCUGCGGCCGCCGCAGGCCGCCCAGGCGGGCGCCUGCCCCCGGCCGAAGCCCAGCCCCGCCGGCCCUACGUCGCCGCCGCUGCCACACUGUCCCCCAAGGCCACGGCUGCCCCUUCCUUUCCCUCCCCGGGGCUUUUUGUUUCUUAAACCAGCCUCAUCUGUCACUUACAACCUGCCUAUCGCCCGACACCAACUGUUGCAAGUUCCGUGGUAACCGCUUUUCUGAACUUCUCAGUGGAAACUGCUCCUCCCGGGAGCCUGUUUAAGCGGCAGCGUUAAGAAUAAAUGCCCGGAUGCCCGGGGAGGCGCUGAGCCCUAAAGUUUUCGCAGUCUGCAGGGUGACAGGAAACCAAGAUGCUUGUGCUGUUUGGAGUCAGUCUGUGCCAGUACGAAGGAAUGACAGCAAUGACCUUGGCCUUUGAAAACAACAUUCUGAGUCAUGUUCUAUAGUUCUCACAAUGGGCAGAUGAUAGGGAGAAAUGGAGCACAGAAAAGGACUGUGAGAGAAUGGGGUAGACUCUGCUAACCGUAGGACUGGUUGCUCAGUAUUACAUCAAGUUUGUGUCUGAUUAGUUGGAGGUGGCACAUAAUAGGGAAAUGACCUCAGAUAAAUGGAAGGAUGAAAUGAAUUGUGGGGCCUUCUAAGGAAGAAAAAGCAUCCUGAUGGGAGACUUCUUUUUAUUAUUAUUAUUAUUAUUAUUAUUAUUAUUAUUUUUGCUGAGGAAGAUUAGCCCGGAGCUAAUAUCUUUUGCCAAUCUUCCUCUUUUUUUUCUCUUUUUUUUUGCUUGAGGAAGAUUAGUCCUGAGUUAACAUCUGUGCCAGUCUUCUUCCACUUUAUGUGUGGGUUGCCACCACACAUCAUGGCUGACGAGUGGUGUAGGUCCACACCCAGGAUCUGAACCUGCCAACUGGGGCUGCCAAACCAGAGUGCACUGAAUUUAACCACUACACCACAGGGCUGGCUCCUGGCUCCUGAUGGGAGACUUUUUUAAGAACAUAGUCAACUUCUAAUGAAUGCCAACAGAUACUUUUUAAAGCACUUUUCAUGGAUUAUGUCAUUUAUUCCUAACAACAAUCCAAUCAGUUAUCCUCAUUUUAUAGUAGAGCACACGAGGUUAAGUGAUUUGUGCCCAAGGUCACACAAGGUAUGGUAGAUUUGGAUUCAAACCCAGGCAAUCUGGCUGCAGAGCCAGCUCUUUAAGCUUCACACUAUUUUUAUCUCCUGUACUACUAGGGGAGAUGGGACUUAUAGUGAGAGACAAGACCUAGACAGACAGAAGGGAAGCCCUGUCACUUAGUGGAACUACUCAUGUAGUGGCUCUUCUUGCUUAAUAAAAGACUUUCAGAGUUCCUCUCUUCUCAGUCUGUGUCUGCCUGUGUGCCACAGGCCUAGAAAACUUUAUGGCGUUACUUUAUGGUGUAUGUGUGUG
rnacentral:lncRNA from 1 species